CCUACGGGAGGCAGCAGUAGGGAAUAUUGGACAAUGGGCGCAAGCCUGAUCCAGCCAUCCCGCGUGAAGGAUUAAGGCCCUCUGGGUUGUAAACUUCUUUUCUCUGGGAAUAAAAACCGGUAUUCAUACUGGCUUGAAGGUACCAGAGGAAUAAGCACCGGCUAACUCCGUGCCAGCAGCCGCGGUAAUACGGAGGGUGCAAGCGUUAUCCGGAUUCACUGGGUUUAAAGGGUGCGUAGGUGGCUUUGUAAGUCAGUGGUGAAAUGCCGCAGCUCAACUGCGGAACUGCCAUUGAUACUGCUUAGCUUGAAUCACGUCGAGGUGGAUGGAAUAAUACAUGUAGCGGUGAAAUGCUUAGAUAUGUAUUAGAACACCGAUUGCGAAGGCAGUUCACUAGGCGUGUAUUGACACUGAGGCACGAAAGCGUGGGGAUCAAACAGGAAUUAGAUACCCUGGUAGUCCACGCCCUAAACGAUAGUAAACUCGACAUUAGCGAUAUACUGUUAGUGUCCAAGCGAAAGACGUAAGUUUACCACCUGGAAGUACGACCGCAAGUGAAACUUAAAGUAGAAUUAGACG
rnacentral:rRNA from 1 species